rnacentral:rRNA from 1 species
UUCGCAAUGCCCGAAAGGGUGACGAAGCGACGCCGCGUGCGGGAAGAAGGCCUUCGGGUUGUAAACCGCUGUCGGGAGUUAAGAAAUGCAAGGAUGUUAACAGCGUCCUUGCUUGACUAAGGCUCCGGAGGAAGCCACGGCUAACUCUGUGCCAGCAGCCGCGGUAAUACGGAGGCGGCAAGCGUUGUUCGGAAUUAUUGGGCGUAAAGAGCACGUAGGCGGCCGUGUAAGUCGGUUGUGAAAGCCUUCCGCUCAACGGAAGGACGGCAUCCGAUACUGCAUGGCUCGAGUGCGGGAGGGGAGAGUGGAACUUCUGGUGGAGCGGUGAAAUGCGUAGAUAUCAGAAGGAACACCGGCGGCGAAGGCGACUCUCUGGCCCGUAACUGACGCUGAGUGUGCGAAAGCUAGGGGAGCAAACGGGAUUAGAUACCCCGGUAGUCCUAGCCGUAAACGAUGGGCACUAAGUAGAGGGGUUUU